rnacentral:rRNA from 1 species
UACGUAGGCAGCGAGCGUUGUUCGGAAUUACUGGGCGUAAAGAGUGUGUAGGCGGUGCUCCCAGUCUGUUGUGAAAUCUCCCGGCUUAACUGGGAGGGUGCAGCGGAAACUAGAGUGCUAGAGGGUGGGAGAGGUAAGCGGAAUUCCUGGUGUAGCGGUGAAAUGCGCAGAUAUCAGGAGGAACACCAAUGGCGAAGGCAGCUCGCUGGGACGGUACUGACGCUGAGACGCGAAAGCGUGGGGAGCGAACAGG